rnacentral:rRNA from 1 species
CCUACGGGGGGCAGCAGUGAGGAAUAUUGGUCAAUGGCCGGGAGGCUGAACCAGCCAAGUCGCGUGAGGGAAGACGGCCCUACGGGUUGUAAACCUCUUUUGUCAGGGAGCAAGGUGCAGGUCGGGACCUGCUGUGAGAGUACCUGAAGAAAAAGCAUCGGCUAACUACGUGCCAGCAGCCGCGGUAAUACGUAGGGGGCAAGCGUUAUCCGGAUUUACUGGGUGUAAAGGGGGCGCAGACGGCAAUGCAAGCCAGGAGUGAAAGCCCGGGGCCCAACCCCGGGACUGCUCUUGGAACUGCAUGGCUGGAGUACAGGAGGGGCAGGCGGAAUUCCUAGUGUAGCGGUGAAAUGCGUAGAUAUCACGAAGAACCCCGAUUGCGAAGGCAGCUUACUAAACUGUGACUGACAUUGAUGCUCGAAAGUGUGGGUAUCAAACAGGAUUAGAUACCCGGGUAGUC